UGUUUGACUCUUAAUUGGUCUUCGGUCGUUUUUAUACUUUCGAGUUUCCAUCAAAUUGUGAGCCGUAUGAUACAGACAUCAUCCACGUGGCUAACUAAGAGACUGAAAUGAAAAGGGCAUACAGUAAACCCGCGGCGCAGGGAACUAACCCCACCCCUCCCCUGAAAACCACCUUCAGUUGAAAAUAAUCAGAAACGUUAGGAAGGAACUUCGGAGAAGAGGGCUUAGCGGUGGCCGGCGGAGACAGAGAAAUAUCAGAGACGCAAGGAAGGAAGAGAGUGACGUCUAAUUUUUUGAAUCGAUUUUCGCUGAGAGCACAUGCUCCCCAUAAUUGUGUCUAUCAGUGAUGAAUGUGGCUCAAGUUCUAAACUUGUGGUAUAAACUACAUUUGGCUUAAACUGGACCAGAUGUGGUGGAUGUUAGAAGAUAAUUCCAAUUUGGAAAUUAUUUGAGUUUUCCAGUUGCUGGCUGCUAUCUGCUGAAGUCUAUGAUGUUAGCUAACUGAGGACAAGGUAUGUUGUUCAUCGACAAGCGCUGGGACAGGUCUAACUUUUUUACCUAAAGCUAGACUGUGAAGGCUGGCAAUGGAAAGGCGCUUUUUCUCUGAGUUAACUGUUGCUCGGUGGACAACACCUUUGUAUCGACCAUUGCUCAAUACUUCCAUGUGAUCUCCCACGAGAACAAUGAGGCCUCCUUCAAUGACUGGAACUGAAUACCACUUUUCAUUUCGAUCCAUGAUUUGC